AGAUUGAGAGCUCUUUCUUGAUUUUGUGGGUGGUGGUGCAUGGCCGUUCUUAGUUGGUGGAGUGAUUUGUCUGCUUAAUUGCGAUAACGAACGAGACCUUAACCUGCUAAAUAGCCCGUAUUGCUUUGGCAGUACGCUGGCUUCUUAGAGGGACUAUCGGCUCAAGCCGAUGGAAGUUUGAGGCAAUAACAGGUCUGUGAUGCCGUUAGAUGUUCUGGGCCGCACGCGCGCUACACUGACGGAGCCAGCGAGUACUUCCUUGUCCGAAAGGUCCGGGUAAUCUUGUUAAACUCCGUCGUGCUGGGGAUAGAGCAUUGCAAUUAUUGCUCUUCAACGAGGAAUCCCUAGUAAGCGCAAGUCAUCAGCUUGCGUUGAUUACGUCCCUGCCCUUUGUACACACCGCCCGUCGCUACUACCGAUUGAAUGGCUCAGUGAGGCGUCCGGACUGGCCCAGAGAGGUGGGCAACUACCACUCAGGGCCGGAAAGCUCUCCAAACUCGGUCAUUUAGAGGAAGUAAAAGUCGUAACAAGGUCUCCGUUGGUGAACCAGCGGAGGGAUCAUU
rnacentral:rRNA from 1 species